rnacentral:tRNA from 1 species
GCCUGGCUGGCUCAGUCGGUAGAGCGUGCAACUCUUGAUCUCAGGGUUGUGAGUUCAAGCCCCACGUUGGGCG